rnacentral:rRNA from 1 species
AUGGCGAGCACCGCGCUGAGCAUGAAGCUCCUCAUCGACACCAAGGCCCAGCGCGUGCUGUUCGCGGAGGCGAGCAAGGACGUGGUGGACUUCCUCUUCUCCCUACUCUCGCUGCCCGUCGGCACCGCCGUCAAGCUGCUGGGGAAGGAAGCCAUGGUCGGCUGCGUCGGCAACCUCUACGGCAGCGUCGAGAAGCUUGACAGCACCUACGUCCAGCCCGACGCGGCCAAGGACGCCCUCCUCCACCCCGCCGUGCUCUCGCCCGCGGCUGGCACCAAGAUGUUCCGCUUGACGCAGCCGUCUUCUGGGCAGUCCAAGGGAUUCUUCAAAUGCAGCUACAGCGGCUGCACCAGCUACGUGACCGACACCAGCGGCACCAUGUGCCAGUGCGGUCGCGGUUGCUCGAUGACCACGGCCAUGCACUUCAUCCCAGGCAAUGGCAAGGUGGCCGCCAGCGUCGGCACCAAGGGGUUCGUGCAGGGCAUCGUGACGUACACGGUGAUGGACGAUCUCGCCGUGACGCCCAUGUCCUCCAUCUCCAGCAUCACCCUGCUCAACACAUUCGCCGUCAAGGAUCUCAGCGCGCUCCAGGAGAAGACCGUGCAGCUCGGCUACGACGAGGGCCUGGAGAUCCUCAAGGCGUCGCUGCAGUCCAAGACCGUCCUCACCGACGUCUUCCUCAAGGCCCCCAGCAGCGCUUGA